rnacentral:snRNA from 1 species
GACAGAUAAACAAGACAAAAACAAAACUUGGAACGAUACAGAGAAGAUUAGCAUAGCCCCUGCUCAAGGAUGACACACAAAUUCUUGAAGCGUUCCAUAUUUUU